CCUACGGGAGGCAGCAGUAAGGAAUAUUGGUCAAUGGGCGCAAGCCUGAACCAGCCAUGCCGCGUGCAGGAAGACGGCCCUAUGGGUUGUAAACUGCUUUUGAACAAGAGAAAACCUCGGUACGUGUACCGAGCUGAUAGUAUUGUUAGAAUAAGCAUCGGCUAACUUCGUGCCAGCAGCCGCGGUAAGACGAAGGAUGCAAGCGUUAUCCGGAUUCAUUGGGUUUAAAGGGU
rnacentral:rRNA from 1 species